GAAAAGGUCCUUAUAAGGUAACAAACACAGGAACACACACACACAAUCUGUUCCUCUCCCCGGAUGGAAAACAUGUGGGUUAUGCGGCGCCACAUUCCAGAGCUGAAACUGGCCGCUGAUGCUGAUCAUGUGACCAGAACAGCCGACCUCAGCAAAGAGACCAGCUGCAGUUUAUGCAUCUGUUUAUGACUGUUUGUGUGUUUACGUUUGUUUGUGUUUACGUCUGCUUGCAUGAGUUUGUGUUAGGGUUAGGUUUGUGUGUUAAUGUGUGUUUGCCCGAAUCUUCAGUUUUGAAAUAGAAAGUGUUCUGUGGAAUCAGCCGACCGCCCUCCUUAGGCCCCGCCCCCUUGCUAGAUUCCAUCUGACUUCAGUUUGAGGUUUCUGAUGGAAUACCGGGAUGGAUCCUGGCGUUCCUGACGGGAAUCGGAGCUCAGCGUCACACCUUUAAACUCAGCAGGAGCUCUUAAUCCUGAAAUGUUCUGAUGUUCUGAACAGACACAGGAAAGUCCAAAACCAAGAUUAUGAUCAGCUGGAUGCAACAGCUGAUUUUCACAUCAUCAGAGAUUUUGGAUCUAACUGAUCAUCACACCUUCUUCUUUGGAUGGGUCAGGGGGGUUCUGGACCUACCAGCUGCCUCCUCAGCACCAGGAUGUUCUCCUCCGGACUCAGACGAGCCUCCCGAUCCUCGGGCUUCUCCAGCGCGGUCCGGAUGAGCACCUGCUGCCGCUGUCGCAGGUUCUCCAGCUCGCUGAGUCCAAACAUGACCGCGUCCAGCCGCUCCCGCACGGAGCGCAGCCGCUCCGCCGCGUCCGCCGCGUCCGCGCGCUCCCGCCUGCAGGCGCUGCUCAGCGGCAUCUCCUCUGCGGCGGCCGGGGCUCUCUGCGGCAUCAGGCUCCGGAGGACCCAGAGGGCAUCACGCACAGGCACCCGCUGACCUGCGGGAGGGAAGGGCGGGCGGGGGGCACCCCGAAACUGCGGUGAAUCAGAGGGAGGUUCGGGUCCACAUGGAGGUGUGGAACCGGACCUGUCAGCGCAGCAGUUCCGGCAGAGUCCUCCAGAAACCUGCAGCUGCUGCUGGAGCUCCACAGACACUGAGCCGGAUCCGCUGGUGGCAUCCAAACCCCGCCCCUCGAGACCACACCCCUUCAUCCAGACAGUAUCACCGCCCAGAGUGACGUCAGCUCGAAAUGAAUUAUUUUUGUUGACUCUUUCAAAAUAAAUUUUUUUUUUUUCCUAAA